rnacentral:rRNA from 1 species
AUGAAAAUUAAAGUUUUUGGCUGGCUCCUUUUCUUUGACAGGCUCAACACGAAGGAUAUGUUGGUCAGACGGCAUUGGCGGUCCCCUUUGGAUGAUAACAUAUGUGUCAUCUGUAAUGCUUAUGUCUAUGAAGAUAGAGCACAUCUUUUCUUUGAAUGUAACUUCAGUUGCAGGGUUUGGAAUUACUUGCAAAUUGAUUGGAGACAUGGCUCUAGUAUCCAGGAGUGUAUCUCCCAAGCAAGGAAAAGAUUUGGACACCCAUUCUUCUUUGAAGUGAUGCUCACGACUGCUUGGAAUAUUUGGAUUCUGAGGAAUGGAAGAACCUUCAGGGGGAUAAGGGCUACUUUUGCAGCAUGGAGAUGUAAUUUUGUACAUGAUAUCCUUCAGGGGGAUAGUUUUAGGCAUAGGCUUGUUGAUUGGGUUAAUUCCCUCACGUAA